AGACAGCAGUCGCCGCGGUAAUACAGAGGGUGCGAGCGUUAAUCGGAUUUACUGGGCGUAAAGCGUGCGUAGGCGGCUUUUUAAGUCGGAUGUGAAAUCCCUGAGCUUAACUUAGGAAUUGCAUUCGAUACUGGGAAGCUAGAGUAUGGGAUAGGAUGGUAGAAUUCCAGGUGUAGCGGUGAAAUGCGUAGAGAUCUGGAGGAAUACCGAUGGCGAAGGCAGCCAUCUGGCCUAAUACUGACGCUGAGGUACGAAAGCAUGGGGAGCAAACAGGAUUAGAUACCCCUGUAGUCCCUGUCUCUUAUAC
rnacentral:rRNA from 1 species